rnacentral:tRNA from 1 species
AUUAAGGUAGCAAAGCACGGAAAGGCUUAAAACCUAAACACAGAUGUUCAAAUCAUCUCCUUAAUA